CCAACGGUUCUUUUAAGAACCACCCAAAUCCACCUUAAAAAAGGCA
rfam:Danio rerio chromosome 7, GRCz11 reference primary assembly.